rnacentral:rRNA from 1 species
AGAGUUUGAUCAUGGCUCAGGAUGAACGCUAGCUACAGGCUUAACACAUGCAAGUCGAGGGGCAUCAGUUUGGUUUGCUUGCAAACCAAAGCUGGCGACCGGCGCACGGGUGAGUAACACGUAUCCAACCUGCCUCAUACUCGGGGAUAGCCUUUCGAAAGAAAGAUUAAUAUCCGAUAGCAUAUAUUUCCCGCAUGGGUUUUAUAUUAAAGAAAUUCGGUAUGAGAUGGGGAUGCGUUCCAUUAGUUUGUUGGGGGGGUAACGGCCCACCAAGACUACGAUGGAUAGGGGUUCUGAGAGGAAGGUCCCCCACAUUGGAACUGAGACACGGUCCAAACUCCUACGGGAGGCAGCAGUGAGGAAUAUUGGUCAAUGGACGCGAGUCUGAACCAGCCAAGUAGCGUGAAGGAUGACUGCCCUAUGGGUUGUAAACUUCUUUUAUAUGGGAAUAAAGUUGUCCACGUGUGGAUUUUCGUAUGUACCAUAUGAAUAAGGAUCGGCUAACUCCGUGCCAGCAGCCGCGGUAAUACGGAGGAUC